GACGAACGCUGGCGGCGUGCUUAACACAUGCAAGUCGAACGGUGACCUCGAGAGCUUGCUCUUGAGUGAUCAGUGGCGAACGCGUGAGUAACACGUGAGUAACCUGCCCCAGACUCUGGAAUAACCCCGGGAAACCGGAGCUAAUACCGGAUACGAAGUGGAGCCGCAUGGCUACUACUUGGAAAGUUUUUCGGUCUGGGAUGGACUCGCGGCCUAUCAGCUAGUUGGUGAGGUAACGGCUCACCAAGGCGACGACGGGUAGCCGGCCUGAGAGGGCGACCGGCCACACUGGGACUGAGACACGGCCCAGACUCCUACGGGAGGCAGCAGUGGGGAAUAUUGCACAAUGGGCGAAAGCCUGAUGCAGCGACGCCGCGUGAGGGAUGACGGCCUUCGGGUUGUAAACCUCUUUCAGCAGGGAAGAAGCGAAAGUGACGGUACCUGCAGAAGAAGCACCGGCUAACUACGUGCCAGCCGCCGCAGUAAUAC
rnacentral:rRNA from 1 species